AGUGAACGCUGGCGGUAGGCCUAACACAUGCAAGUCGAACGGCAGCACAGUAAGAGCUUGCUCUUACGGGUGGCGAGUGGCGGACGGGUGAGGAAUACAUCGGAAUCUACUUUUUCGUGGGGGAUAACGUAGGGAAACUUACGCUAAUACCGCAUACGACCUACGGGUGAAAGCAUGGGAUCUUCGGACCUUGCGCGAUUGAUUGAGCCGAUGUCGGAUUAGCUAGUUGGCGGGCUAAAGGCCCACCAAGGCGACGAUCCGUAGCUGGUCUGAGAGGAUGAUCAGCCACACUGGAACGGAGACACGGUACAGACUCCUACGGGAGGCAGCAGUGGGGAAUAUUGGACAAUGGGCGCAAGCCUGAUACAGCCAUACCGCGUGGGUGAAGAAGGCCUUCGGGUUGUAAAGCCCUUUUGUUGGGAAAGAAAAGCAGCAGGUUAAUACCCCGCUGUUCUGACGGUACCCAAAGAAUAAGCACCGGCUAACUUCGUG
rnacentral:rRNA from 1 species